UUACACUGUUCUCACGAUAGUGAGUUCUCAUGAGAUCUGAUGGUUUAAAAGUGUGUGGCAGUUUCUCCUUCACUCUUUCUCCCUGACACCAUGUGAAGAAGGUCCUUGGUUCCCGUUCACUUUCCAUCAUGAUUGUAAGUUUCCUGAGGCCUCCCUAACUGUGCAGAACUCAGUUUGACUUACAAUGUGGAAUUUCUGGAAUUCUGGGACCUGUGAGUUACUGUUCUUCAUUAACUUUGGAAAAUUCUUGGCCAUUAUCUCUACUGAUACAUUUUUUUCUUUCUUUUUAUUUUAUUAUUAUUAUUUUUUUUUGAGAUGGAGUCUCACUCUAUUGGCAGGCUGGAGUGCAGUGGUGCAAUCUCGGCUCACUGCAACCUCUGCCUCCCGGAUUCAAGCAAUUCUCCUGCCUCAGGCUCC
rnacentral:lncRNA from 10 species